AUUGAACGCCGGCGGCAUGCCUUACACAUGCAAGUCGAACGGUAACAGGUCUUCGGAUGCUGACGAGUGGCGAACGGGUGAGUAAUACAUCGGAACGUGCCUAGUCGUGGGGGAUAACUACUCGAAAGAGUGGCUAAUACCGCAUGAUAUCUACGGAUGAAAGCAGGGGAUCGCAAGCCCUUGUGCUACUAGAGCGGCCGAUGGCAGAUUAGGUAGUUGGUGGGAUAAAAGCUUACCAAGGCGACGAUCUGUAGCUGGUCUGAGAGGACGAUCAGCCACACUGGGACUGAGACACGGCCCAGACUCCUACGGGAGGCAGCAGUGGGGAAUUUUGGACAAUGGGCGCAAGCCUGAUCCAGCAAUGCCGCGUGCAGGAUGAAGGCCUUCGGGUUGUAAACUGCUUUUGUACGGAACGAAAAGCCCUGGGUUAAUACCCUGGGGUCAUGACGGUACUGUAAGAAUAAGCACCGGCUAACUACGUGCCAGCCGCCGCGGUAACAC
rnacentral:rRNA from 1 species